UAGAGUUUGAUCCUGGCUCAGAACGAACGUUAGCGGCGCGCCUAACACAUGCAAGUCGCACGAGAAAGGGCUUCGGCCCCGGUAAAGUGGCGCACGGGUGAGUAACACGUGGGUAACCUGCCCUCGAGCGGGGGAUAACAUUCCGAAAGGAGUGCUAAUACCGCAUAAGACCACGACCUCGAAAGAGGACGAGGUAAAAGCUGGCCUCUGUAUACAAGCUAGCACUUGAGGAUGGGCCCGCGGCGCAUCAGGUAGUUGGUGAGGUAACGGCUCACCAAGCCGAAGACGCGUAGCUGGUCUGAGAGGAUGAUCAGCCACACUGGAACUGAGACACGGUCCAGACUCCUACGGGAGGCAGCAGUGGGGAAUCUUGCGCAAUGGGCGAAAGCCUGACGCAGCGACGCCGCGUGAGUGAUGAAGGCCUUCGGGUUGUAAAGCUCUGUGGGGCGAGACGAAUAAGUGCAGCCCAAUACGUUGCAUGAUGACGGUAUCGCCUUAGCAAGCACCGGCUAACUCUGUGCCAGCAGCCGCGGUAAGACAGAGGGUGCAAACGUUGUUCGGAAUUACUGGGCGUAAAGCGAGUGUAGGCGGUCUGCUAAGUCGGGUGUGAAAGCCCCGGGCUCAACCCGGGAAGUGCACUCGAAACUGGCAGGCUAGAGUAUCGGAGAGGUUGGUGGAAUUCUCGGUGU
rnacentral:rRNA from 1 species